AAACUCCUACGGGAGGCAGCAGUGGGGAAUAUUGCACAAUGGGCGAAAGCCUGAUGCAGCAACGCCGCGUGAGUGAUGAAGGCCUUCGGGUCGUAAAACCCUGUCCUCAAGGAAGAUAAUGACGGUACUUGAGGAGGAAGCCCCGGCUAACUACGUGCCAGCAGCCGCGGGAAUACGUAGGGGGCUAGCGUUAUCCGGAUUUACUGGGCGUAAAGGGUGCGUAGGCGGUCUUUCAAGUCA
rnacentral:rRNA from 1 species